UUUCCAAACCUCGUUGAUUUCUUCUUCCGCCUUCUUAGAAAAGAAAGACCAGACUAAGAAGGCGGAAGAAGAAAUCAACGAGGUUUGGAAA
rnacentral:miRNA from 1 species